rnacentral:rRNA from 1 species
CACACCGCCCGUCACGCCAUGGAAGUUGGGAGUGCCCGAAGUCCGUGAGGCAACCGCAAGGAGCCAGCGGCCGAAGGCGAGCCUAAUGACUGGGGCG